rnacentral:tRNA from 1 species
UCCCUGGUGGCUCAGAGGUUAAAGCGUCUGCCUGCAGGGCAGGAGCCCUGGGUUCGAUCCCUGGGUCGGGAA